AGAGGAAAUUAUGGAAGUGGAAAUUAGAAUGAUUUUUGGAAAUUACAACCUUCUAACUAUGGUCCAAUGGAGAGUGGAAACUUUGAUGGUAGUAGGAACAUAAGGGGACUUAUAUGGUGGAACAAACUAUGGUCCAGGAGGCAGUGGUGGAAGUGGUGGUUAUGGUGGGAGCAGCCAAUAACAAGCUUCUUCCCAUUUUCCAUGGGCUUCACUGUAUAAAUAGGAGGAUGAGAGCCCAGAGGUAACAGAACAGCUUCAGAGUAUGAAUAGGAGAG